UCGGGAAUUUUGGACAAUGGGCGAAAGCCUGAUCCAGCCAUGCCGCGUGAGUGACGAAGGCCUUAGGGUUGUAAAACUCUUUCGUCGGGGACGAUAAUGACGGUACCCGAAGAAGAAGCUCCGGCUAACUUCGUGCCAGCAGCCGCGGUAAUACGAAGGGAGCUAGCGUUGUUCGGAAUCACUGGGUGUAAAGCGCACGUAGGCGGAUAGUUAAGUCAGGGGUGAAAUCCUGGGGCUCAACCCCAGAACUGCCUUUGAUACUGGCUGUCUCGAGGUCGAGAGAGGUUGGUGGAAUUCCUAGUGUAGAGGUGAAAUUCGUAGAUAUUAGGAAGAACACCAGUGGCGAAGGCGGCCAACUGGCUCGAUACUGACGCUGAGGUGCGAAAGCGUGGGGAGCAAACAGGAUUAGAUACCCUUGUAGUCCCUGAGCGGGCUGGCAAGGCGCAU
rnacentral:rRNA from 1 species